CCGGAUCUCAGAUCAAGUAAGAUUAC
rnacentral:rRNA from 1 species